UUCGGAUAGAUAAAGCGCAUUUUUGAACAUUCCUGGCUCGGAUGAUGUUAUCUCGCACGAAAUCUCACAGCGCGGUCGCGAUGCGGUGACGUGUGUGAAAUUUCCAUUCAAAGAAGUCAAUGAAAGCAAAUUUUAACAGAUACAAGUUCAAAAAAACUCAACUAAAUAUGUUACAGAAGUCCUAAAUAUUUGAAACAUGUCAUUAUUGGGACAAAGUUAUCAGUGAAGAUCGUGCUUUGCCUAUAUGAAACUAAAUCAGUAGAGUCUGGUGACCUGAGGCCAGUUGUUAAAAGCGAGUUUAGCGCUCGACGUUUGAAAAAUUGAUGUUAAAAUUUGCGUUGACACCGUCUUUACAUCAAUACAACAUCAAAUACAUUAUUUAGACGGGUGGCUAAAAACGUUCUUUUCAGUAACAUAUUUAAUUGUUAUGACUCGUAGUUUACAGGUGUUAUUGUUGCUGAUAUUAUAGUCACAAUGUAUUUUGUAAAGAGCCUUUAUUUGUUAUAUAACAAUUGUUCAAGAGGAGGUAGUCGUAUUUCUCAACGUAUUUCAGUGAAUCGAUCCUGUAUAAUAUUGUCGUUGUUUUCAUCUGCUUGCUCAAAUAUACAUGACAUUGAAGUGAAAACAAGAAUAGACAACGUAACCGUUGAUAAAACUGACCCAACUGCAUUGAUACAAACUACUUUCAAGGUGCAUUGCCACCUCGAAAGAUCAUCAAGAAAAAGACAUACCCGUCGUCUUUCACUGUUUCCUCGAAGGUGCGAAUUGGCACACUAAUAAGAUAUGGUGCCAAGAAAUAUAUCUAACCUUGUUUGUUGCCUAAUUCCCUUCUUAUCCCUCUCCAUUUUAUUUAUAUGGACGUACGAGAAAAUGUGGAGUGAAAUUAGAGGAAACGGAGGAAAAGAUGAUGACGG